rnacentral:rRNA from 1 species
UACGUAGGGUGCGAGCGUUAAUCGGAAUUACUGGGCGUAAAGCGUGCGCAGGCGGUGAUGUAAGACAGGUGUGAAAUCCCCGGGCUUAACCUGGGAACUGCAUUUGUGACUGCAUCGCUGGAGUGCGGCAGAGGGGGAUGGAAUUCCGCGUGUAGCAGUGAAAUGCGUAGAUAUCAGGAGGAAUACCGAUGGCGAAGGCAGGUCUCUGGGCUGACACUGACGCUCAUGCACGAAAGCGUGGGGAGCAAACAGG